AUUCUACCCAUACAGGGAGGGAUGAGAAGCUUCGACUAAGGUUCGACUCGAGCGCCAGCGAGAGAGCGUUGCCGCAGGCAACGACCCGUAGGGCGA
rnacentral:sRNA from 1 species